CUACGGGUUGCUGCAGUCGAGAAUAUUCCACAAUGGGCGAAAGCCUGAUGGAGCGACGCCGCGUGCAGGAUGACAGCCUGCGGGUUGUAAACUGCUUUUUAUAGGGAAAAAGUUAUUGAUGGUACCUAUAGAAUAAGGGGUUGCAAACUUCGUGCCAGCAGCCGCGGUAAUACGAAGGCCCCGAGCGUUAUCCGGAUUUAUUGGGCGUAAAGCGUCCGCAGGGGGUCUUGUGCGUCUCUUGUUAAAUCUCAGUGCUCAACGCUGAGGCUACAUGAGAUACGGCAAGACUAGAGGAUGUCAGAGGCUACUGGAACGCACAGUGUAGGGGUGAAAUCCGUUGAUAUUGUGCGGAACACCGAAGGCGAAGGCAGGUAGCUGGGACAUUCCUGACCCUCAUGGACGAAAGCGUGGGGAGCAAAAAGGAUUAGAUACCCGCGUAGUC
rnacentral:rRNA from 1 species